rnacentral:tRNA from 4 species
GUUUAUAUGGUUUAUUGGUAAAGCAAUGUAUUUUUUAAUACAACGAAUUUGGUUCGAUUCCAAAUGUAAACG